ensembl:lncRNA
ACAAAUACUUCUCUAGUUACCCAGGAGGCAGCUGUGAGACACAUGCAGCCAUGGUGCACUCUGGCCUGAAGCACACCCACCGUGCAGGUGAACAAGUGGAUUUAUCAGCCCUGCUCUGUGAUGAUUCCAACCCUGCACAGGCAAGCUCUGUGGCCAUGGAAAUGUAAAUACCCUGCAUGAGGCCUAAGUACAGAAUCUUGAAAGAGCCACUGCAUUCAGCUGCACUUUUAGCAGAACUGUCUGUGACACCAAGAACAGUGAACCAAAGAUUUAUUGUGUUAACUUCCACCAGGAAAGGCCCCAUUUCACACCAGUUCACAACACUGCUGCAGUAACUGUUGUCAUGGCAGGACUGGGAGCAGGCUUGAGCAGCUCCAGGAAAUCAAAACCAUCACUGCCACCAUGAGAAGUUUUUGUGAAACUACGUGAUCAAGCACUACAUCUAUCUUUUCAUCACAUUUGUGGUAUUAACUAGGUUUUCUUCAUGUCUUAGUGACACUGUAGAUCUGACUUUGUCUCUUCAACCCAUGAAAGGACAAGAAUGAAAAAAGCCUUUGAAAUAGAAUCAUGUCCCUGUAAAGAAGUAACACAUUUUCCAGCUGUGGCUUUGCCUUCUGAAGCCAGGUGAAAGCCUUGCCUGUAAUUAGUACACAUCACUCCCAUUAAUUAGCGUGUACAUAAACUGUUGAAUUCACUCUAUGACCUUUACAGAUUGUUAUUUUUCCUGCACUGCUGGACUAACAGCCAAUGUUUACUGAGUUCCCCUUAUCAGGUGACAAAAAUGAGGACAUUCCUGAGCUAGAGACACUGUAAAGUUGUUUUCAACAGUUGUUUCAUUUUGCUUACUGUAAAGAAAUGCACACCCACACAAAAGUAAUUCUGAAAGACCAGAACAAAUCAUGCUCUAUUUAAUCUACUUGCCUUUAACAAUCAAAUCCAAGUGUGUGUUAAUUAUGUACAAAAAGCAAGUCUUUAGUAUGUCACUGGUCUGCAAGUUUUGUUAUUAAAGGUCACAAUAUCCUCAUAUGAAUUAGAGUGGACACGUGUCACAAUUGAGGAGAGUCAAAAGUGAACCUGUAUGCAACAUUUCAACCACAUAAAGAGCACAUUUACAUUGGAGCUAUUUACAUGGGUAUGCAUUUGUUCAAAGCUUAGAUCUUGAUAGAUAAUGUAGAAUACCACCAGCAUUUCAAAUAACACCCAAAAAAUGUCCUUUUUUUCUGAUGGCCCAUAACCCAACAAAGGGACUCUGACAAACAAAUGCUACACUGCCUUAAGAACAGAGCAGCAUGUCCUAGGGCAGGGCUCUCAGCAGAAACUUCAAAUGCAGCUGCCUGUAUAAUUUAACAUAUCAAAAACUUGUCCUCUGUAACUCAGUGUAUGAAAAUUAAAAAUUCUCUUUAAUAUUGCUUCUAUUUGCAAACAUUUGUAAAGCAAAUGCAAUUUCUAAAUAGCAAUGUUUUGAAAAGUCAUUCCUGCUUGUUCCAAACUUGUUCUUUUAAAUGAAAAAUGUUACCUACACCUGGUUUUAUAUUUUGUUCUUCAUUUUAAAAGAUGAUGAAAGUUUAUGUAAUUGUCAAACAUCUAAAUAUUCCUAUUUUGUACAGUUUUUAUAAACACUUGAAAACAAUGUAAAUUAUUUAAAGGAAAAACAAGUCCUAGUGCAGAACAACCAGCUUUGCUCUAUAACAAAUUUUAGACCAACAAAUUGUUCUGGUUUUGUUAUCAAUGGGAAAUUUCUACAGUUUGAGUCCUGGACUUAAUAUCUCCAUAGAUUUGUGUAUAGUGUAUCUGAUAUUCUCCACUGACUUCUGUAUACAAUUUAUUGAGCUGGAAUCAUGGUCUUGACUUCAACAUUUCUAUAUGAUACAUACUUAAAAAUAAACCUCUAUACACACAUAAAAAGGACA